rnacentral:rRNA from 1 species
GACGAACGCUGGCGGCGUGCUUAACACAUGCAAGUCGAGCGGAGCGGCGAACGGGUGAGUAACGCGUGAGUAACUGCCCCCCUCUCUGGGAUAACAGUUGGAAACGGCUGCUAAUACCGGAUAGUGGGGGAUGACUCGCGUCCUAUCAGCUUGUUGGUGGGGUAGUGGCCUACCAAGCGGCCGACGGGGAGCCGGCCUGAGAGGGCGAACGGCCACAAGAGGCGGAGAUACGGCCCAAACUCCUACGGUGGGCAGCGGUGGUGAAUAUUGCACAACGGUGGAAACCGUGAUGCAGCGACGCCGGGUGCGUGAUGACGGCUUUCGGGUUGUGAACCGCUGUCAGCCAUGACGCGGUAGUGGCAGAAGAAGCACCGGCUAACUACGUGCCAGCAGCCGCGGUAAUUC